AACGAACGCUGGCGGCAGGCCUAACACAUGCAAGUCGAACGCCGUAGCAAUACGGAGUGGCAGACGGGUGAGUAACACGUGGGAACGUACCCUUCGGUUCGGAAUAACUCAGGGAAACUUGAGCUAAUACCGGAUACGUCCGAGAGGAGAAAGAUUUAUCGCCGAGGGAUCGGCCCGCGUCUGAUUAGCUUGUUGGUGAGGUAACGGCUCACCAAGGCGACGAUCAGUAGCUGGUCNGAGAGGAUGAUCAGCCACAUUGGGACUGAGACACGG
rnacentral:rRNA from 1 species